UGUGUAGGCGGUUGCUUAAGUUUGGUGUGAAAUCUCCCGGCUCAACCGGGAGGGUGCGCCGAAUACUGAGUGACUCGAGUGCGGGAGAGGAGAGUGGAAUUCCUGGUGUAGCGGUGAAAUGCGUAGAUAUCAGGAGGAACACCGGUGGUGUAGACGGCUCUCUGGACCGUAACUGACGCUGAGACACGAAAGCGUGGGUAGCAAACAGGAUUAGAUACCCUGGUAGUCCACGCCCUAAACGAUGCAUAUUUGGUGUGGGCAGUUCAGUCUGUCCGUGCCGGAGCUAACGCGUUAAAUAUGCCGCCUGGGGAGUACAGUCGCAAGGCUGAA
rnacentral:rRNA from 1 species